rnacentral:lncRNA from 12 species
UGUUAUUUCUCCCCUCUCCACAAGGAAGGAGCUCCGUGAAGGCAGAGACAAAAGGUGAUGCCUCUUUGCAAUUUCUGUUUCAACCAAACAAAAACUGUCACGGUUUCCGUUGACUCCCCUGCUAUCAGGCCUUCCCGCCACAGCCUCGUCCAUCCGAAGCGUCCCUAUCUCCACCCACAUGCCCAGACCAGCUGAGGCUUUGCCCCCUGCAGACUCAGGCGUGCAGAAAAUGUCCCACGUUGUUUCUUUGGCUUGGUCUAAACUCGACCCAGAGCUGAGCUUGAAGAUUGGCGUAUCCCUGACCAACCAGGAGGGGACCCCGGGCUCAUGGGGUCUGGACUGUGACAUAACAAGGAGCUAGCUCCCAGGAAGAGUCUAGAACCCACAGUGUGUUCUAGUCUGUGCAGGAGAGAACAGGGUAAGCCCAGCGGAUGAGCGUUUGAGCAGAGCCCCGCGGACGGGCAACCACCGACGCAUGCGCACUAAGGCAGGGCUUGGCCCCCACCGUCUAGUUCUGGGCCCCAGGCCCAGGACAGCUGGGGAUACAGGGAGGCUUAGAGCAGGGAGGACAGGCUUCCCUGGCCCCCGGGCUGGCCCUCACUCCUCGAGCCUCAGUUUCCCACCUGCAGAUUAGAUGACCUUGAGUCACUGACCUCCAGGGCCACGUAACACUGAGAACAUUCUGGAAUCCCAGAGCAUAGGCACAGCACAGGGAAGGUGUGCCCGGCGAGGCCAAGACACCCACCCCCCCAUCUUCCUGCCCAAGGAGCCAGCUGACCCUGAAAGCCUCGUUCGGCCCCCACACUCCCAGAGCCUUGAUGUGAAGCGUGGUCCUACCUGCUUUGUUUCUACGCAGCACAUGUGUGCUCAAUGCCGCGCCGGGGGCUGUGGCCUCGUUCCCUCGUGGGGAAAGGAGACUGCUGAGCGCCGAGGGGCUCUGCUUGGCCCAGGGGCGCCCGGGCGUGGCCUCCCCUUCCCUGGGCUACUGGCAAGGAGAGCAGGUCAUCCGUCCAUGCCUUCCACUGAGGCUGAGACUAGAUGUGAUUCAUCUCUCACGUUCCUAGAGAGCAGAACGUGGCUAACACAAAUAGGGAAUGAGUGAGGAAAUCCUUCCACUGCCGUCUUCACCGUCCACAAGCUCCAUGUGAGCCAAGAGAGGUACACGGCUACUUACAAAAGUGUGGCUUUCACGACGGGGACAGUAGCCAGAGCGAUGGAGGAGAGAGUCUUUCUCUGAGAAUGAAUGCCCAGGGGAGGGAGAUGAGAACAGAAGUAGAGUCUUAAAAAAACAAACAAACAAACAAAAAAAAAACGCCAUGGAAGUCUUCUAGAAAACCAGAGAGAGGAGCUUCAGCACACACAAGCGCUAUCAGUAAAUACCUAACGGGCCACCAGAGCCUUCUUCAUCCGCCUCACCCUGGCCCAGCCGGUGGAGGUGCCAGGCUCCUUGACAUCCCCUAGAGAAGGACAGAAGCAGCAGGUGGAGUCUGGGGGCUCAACCGGUAGCUUCUGGACCAGAGGGUUAUCCCGACCCACAGGUAGGCCACUUGGCAUCGCCGGGUCGAGCAAGAGCGUUGGCCAACCUCCCUAAACAAAUAAAAUCUAGACUCUGAAUGUAGCUUCA